rnacentral:rRNA from 1 species
AACGCGAAGAACCUUACCCAGGCUUGACAUGCAGAUGACAACUUCAGAAAUGAAGCGUCCCUUCGGGGCAUUUGCACAGGUGCUGCAUGGCUGUCGUCAGCUCGUGCCGUGAGGUGUUUGGUUAAGUCCAGCAACGAGCGCAACCCUUAUCAUUAGUUGCCAACACUACGGGUGGGAACUCUAAUGAGACUGCCUGGGUUAACCAGGAGGAAGGUGAGGAUGACGUCAAGUCCGCAUGGCCCUUAUGUCUGGGGCUACACACGUGCUACAAUGGUCGGUACAGAAGGCAGCGAAACCGCAAGGCGGAGCAAAUCCCGAAAGCCGAUCUCAGUUCAGAUUGUAGUCUGCAACUCGACUACAUGAAGACGGAAUUGCUAGUAAUGGUGGGUCAGCAACACCACCGUGAAUACGUUCCCGGGCCUUGUACACACCGACUGUAC